GAUGAACGCUAGCUACAGGCUUAACACAUGCAAGUCGAGGGGCAUCACAGUGUAGCAAUAACCCUUGAUGGCGACCGGCGCAAGGGUGCGUAACGCGUGAGCAACUUGCCCGUUUCAGGGGGAUAACCGGUGGAAACGCCGACUAAUACCCCAUAGCAUUGGUUUGAGGCAUCUCUUACCAAUUAAAGAGUUUCGGAAACGGAUAGGCUCGCGUGACAUUAGCUAGACGGCGGGGUAACGGCCCACCGUGGCGACGAUGUCUAGGGGUUCUGAGAGGAAGGUCCCCCACACUGGAACUGAGACACGGUCCAGACUCCUACGGGAGGCAGCAGUGAGGAAUAUUGGUCAAUGGUCUGACGACUGAACCAGCCAUGCCGCGUGAAGGUCACGGCCCUAUGGGUCUUAAACUUCUUUUGCGAGGGAGCAAUAAGGUCUACGUGUAGUCCGAUGAGAGUACCUCGCGAAUAAGCAUCGGCUAACUCCGUG
rnacentral:rRNA from 1 species